rnacentral:rRNA from 1 species
GAUGAACGCUGGCGGCGUGCCUAAAACAUGCAAGUCGAGCGACAGCACAGUAAGAUCUUUCUCUUACGGUUGGCGAGGGACGGACGGGUAAGAAGUGCAUAACAAUCUACUAUGUCGGGGGGAAUUACGGAAAGCAGCUUACACUACUGGCGCAUACGUUCAACGGCUGGAUGCAAUGGUUAAUCAGGCCUUGCCCGAUUCUAUGAGACGAUGCCGGAUUAGCUAGUUGGUUAGGUAACGGCUUACCAAGGCAACGAUGCGUAGCUGGCCUGAGAGGAUGAUCAGCCACACUGGAACUGAGACACGGUCCAGACUCCUACGGGAGGCAGCAGUAGGGAAUAUUCCACAAUGGGCGAAAGCCUGACCGAGCAACGCCGCGUGAGUGAUGAAGGUCUUCGGGUCGUAAAGCUCUGUUAUUAGGGAAGAACAAAUGUGUAAGUAACUAUGCACGUCUUGACGGUACCUAAUCAAAAAGCCACGGCUAACUUCGUG